rnacentral:lncRNA from 1 species
GUUGUGUGUUCCCUGAGUUGCUUGCGCGUAACGGUGUUAAGUUCGGUGAAGCUGUAUGGUUCAAAGCUGGUUCACAAAUCUUCAGUGAAGGUGGACUUGACUAUUUGGGAAACCCUAGUUUGGUUCAUGCACAAAGUAUCUUAGCUAUCUGGGCUUGUCAAGUUGUCUUGAUGGGUGCUGUUGAAGGUUAUCGUAUUGCGGGUGGACCUCUUGGUGAGGUUGUUGAUCCACUUUACCCUGGUGGUAGCUUUGAUCCCUUAGGACUUGCCGAUGACCCUGAGGCUUUCGCUGAGCUCAAGGUGAAGGAGAUCAAGAACGGUAGACUCGCUAUGUUCUCCAUGUUUGGGUUCUUUGUUCAAGCUAUCGUAACCGGAAAGGGUCCAUUGGAGAACCUUGCAGACCACCUUGCUGACCCAGUUAACAACAACGCCUGGGCUUACGCGACCAACUUUGUCCCCGGAAAGUGAAAUUGUGAUACAUAAUCAUGAGUUUGUAGCUUAUUGUGAGACAUGAAUCUAUAGGAAGGGGUCAGUCUUUUAGAAGCAUUCUGGGUUAUGGAUUCAGUACAAGAAUAUUGUAAUGUGGUGUAAAUUGGUUUGGAUUAAUUAAUGAAGAACAUGUUAAAUCUUUUUUCAUAUGACAACAGGUUAAUUAUUAAGGCAAACAACAUCAAUCCCAACAGUUUAGAGCUUAAUUACAGAAAAUUCCAACAUUUUACAUAAUUACUGAAAAUCUCGAUUUUGGAUCUGUCGAGGUAUAUAAUUAGCUCCCGAUACGUCUGACGAAGAUACAUUUUUUUCCUUUCUAAAGAUACAUAAUUAGCUUCCGAUGCAUUUUCUCGAUUUUGAAUUUGUCGAGUUACAUGAUGCAUCCAGCAAAGAUACAUAAUUCGCUGCCAAUAUAUUUUUUCAGAUUUUGGCCUGUCGGAAUACAUGAUUAGCUCCUGAUACAUCCAACGAAUAUACAUAAUUAGUUGAGAUUUUUACCUCAGAGGUGAUACAGAAAGAUUGUUUCCGAUAGACUCUCGGCUCGAGACAAUAUAGAGUCCAGAAAAACUAGUAUAUUCACACUAAACUUACCAAUAUUUCAGUGAUAAAGAGGGCUGAACUGGACAUGAAAGUAGAAAAGCAGGAUGGUAAUGCAACAGAUUUACCAGUGGGAAGCAGAAACACUACUAGCUAUAUAUAGAUUAAAAUCGUCGAAAAAGGGGGGUCAACUGUGUUGAACAAGAGCUAAAAGAAAACACAGACGAGACUACUAGCACGGCGUUAGCUCAGACAUAUUACCUACGUUACACUUAACGCUGAGAUAAACACGUAAAAGUACACAGCCUCGUGGCACAGUACAGCAGCCGGUCAAGUCUCUUCAGGGAUCGUGAACGAUGGUUGCCACUUAGUAAGAGCUUUAGUAGCUGUUUUGCCAUAUCUGUUGUUGCGACUGCUGCUGCUGCUUAGGCUGGCCUUGUGAACCAACCAACGAUCCAUCUCGGAGGUUUUGUUGCUGUUGUUGGUCUAAUGAGAUACCAGCUUGAGAAUUGUAGAAAUGUGGGUAGCCCCCCAAAGAUCCAUAGCACUGUUGCGAUGGCGGUUGUUGGCCUUGCCUAAAUCCGCUCGUCUGCUGAUUUUGUCCCUGAAAGCCAUAAUACGUGUUGGCGGGAACAGCUGACAUUGUUCUUGAACCAGAUCCGUGAAGCCACAAAGCUGAGUUCUCACUCUGAAAGAGAACGGAAGCAAGAGUGUCAAGUAAAGCGACGCACAUGGCAGAUAGAGCCAACGACAAAUUGAAAUUACAGUGCAUUUCUAAAGUUUCGCAAACAAAACCAGUAGCUAGGGGUGCCAAAUGGGCGGAUUGGGCAGGUCAAAAGGGUGGGUCAUGUUUCCGUGGGUUGAUUUUGCAACGCCUAACAGUAGCUAUCAAAAAGGUCAUUUGACACAAUGAUGACGAGCAAUUUUUUGGAGAGAGAGCGAAUUCAGUCGGAAUAGUCGUGCUUGCAAAAAUAACAGGUUACCUGCUGAAGAGACAUCAAAUGAUUGGUAUCAUUGUACUGAGAGCUUAAUACAUCAUCGUAACUUAAGUUAGUACCAGACGGAGCAGCAGGGGGGUUAAUUGGGAAGUUCCCCGGGAUGUUAGUUGUAUUUCCAAAAGCACCAUAUCCAGAAGGAACACUGGCAGAUGGAGGCAAGCUGCUGGCAGAAACGGUAUUCUUAUAUUGUGGGAGCAUCGCUGCGAGCGACUGAUGGUAACUGUUGUUACCAGGAAAUGCUUGUUGGAAUGCGGAUGGCAUAUAUGAAUAGUUCUGAUGCAUAAACGGGUAACUAAUCAUGUUGGCAAACGGUCCUAGAGGAACAGCUGGUUGUGAAUAUUGGUGUACAGUUAGAUGUUGUGGUACGCUAGGUCCUGUGGCGACACUAUUUCCAGGAAGCAUCUGCUGAGUAGGCUGCGCUGAUGAAAAACCCACCGUCUUCAUAGCCUGCAGGAAUCAUGACCCACAGUCAACUAUUACGCACCAUAAAAACAAGAGAAGGGAGAAAAAUUAUUGCACUGACAACUUCGAAAGGGGGGAAAAUAAGAUGGAUAAUUCUUUCCCCGUCUCAAGUCACCAAUUCAUACUACAUAGAGUUGCAAUAGACAGCACACUGGCCAUAAUAUGAAUCAAGAGAUCAAACUAAAGCAACACAGCACUUAAGAGGAACCACAUUUAAGAUACGUCAUAUGUGUGGUCAAUAUUUGUAUAAAAUGCGGAACUUUUUAACCACUUAAACCUAUAACUUUUAGUUGCAUUGCAACGAUCAGAACAAUCCAAGAGAAAAGUUUCCUUUAGAAACAAAAUGUGUACUGAGUAACUGAAAGGUACUUCUCUGUUCCCUCCUUCCAAACUAUACUAGAAGAAUAUCCAUGACUCGGAAAAAAGAAAAAAAAAAAAAAGCACGAAUCUAAUGUGAAAAUCCUCAAGAUUCAUAACUUUAUACGUGUUACAUAGUAAUCGAUUUCUUGUUUAUGAACAAUCUACUUCAUCAGGAAAAACCAAUAUAACCAGCUUGUAGCGAGACCCUGACCAAACUCACCUGCCUGGAAAUCAAGAAGCAUAAGCACUUACUUGAAUUUGGAGGAUCAUUCGUUAUUCACUCUCUUUCUAUUACCCGCAGGGAGUGCAGCAACCAAGAUGCAUAUUAUCAUAUAGAAAGAGGCGAAGCGUAGCGAUUUGUACUACUGGAAAAGUUUCGCUAACCAGCAGGCAAUAGAAUCAGCCGAUAGGCGCAGGCAAGCGUAGCGAAUCACAUAGAUAAGCCCCUACCUGCCAGCGCGCGGAUAGAUAGGGUGGGCGAAGUGCGAAGGGGAUGGAUGUCUGAGCGGUUGAAAGAGUCGGUCUUGAAAACCGAAGUAUUUUUCGAAAUACCAGGGGUUGUACAUUUUAACUCAAAUCAAAAUGGUCAAUUGUUGCCGUCAUCCAAUACAAAUAGUUAAGGUCAAAUAUGUGUGCGGGUAAGGGCACCAAAACUACAGCUGAAGCUAGGAUAGAGAGACAUGUGCAAUAUUGAUUAGACGCGGGCAGAAAUAUUACCUCAGGCAUGGAAAUGGUUGAACCACUGAUUGAUGACAUUGAGUUGCCAUAUUUUGUGGGCAUUGCUUGUGUUGUUGAAAAAGGAGAAUAUGAAAGCUCAGACUCUCGACCAGGGUGAAUGUUAGCAGCCAACAAGUUACUCUGCAAGGAAUUUGUGUAGACCUACUCGAACAAAAAAAAAAAAAAAGCAAGCGAGCUAAUUAGGUAAAACACAGAUAUUACGCUCUAGCAAAUAACAGUAACUCGGAUCAGGUUGGCAUGCUUCUGUAGUAUUUUUGUUUUUUUGGGCAAGUGACAUGAUGCACAAACACAAGUUAGCUAUUUGGAACUCAUAAUGAUAGUGAAAUAAUGAUAUUAUAUGUUAACAUUGCUAGGUUAAAAUAUGAAGUAACUUUUUGAAAAGGGAAAACUGGAUAUGUUCAAAUAAUAAGAAAGAUACCGUGUUAUAAGAAAGAAUUCAGUAAUUAGGAAAAUUUCCAUAACCUAUUUCAAGUUAGCCUAAACACCAACAUAAGGACCUCUUAUUUGUUUCACAGCCAAUUCCAACAAAACAAGCUCUCAUUAAUUGUGAAAACACAACCAAUUAUUGAAAUAGCAAAACAUGCCAUGUCGAGUGGCUACACAUACACAUAAAUAUUAGCUACAAGCUCGCAACCAGCAUAUUGCGUGGAGCACAUUAAAUACAGAUUAAACAGAAUGAAGCACUGUUGAUAUGUUUCCCCACAGCAAAGGAGCCAAGGAAACAAGAGAGUCUAUGUAGUGAAGAAAACUUGAACAUACCCAAAAUACAAUGAAUCCCAAGGGAAUAUAUGAAACGGGAGGGUCUAGCAUUUGGGAAGUGUUUCGCAUAACUAACAAUAGGUAGUGAAUCCCCAGGAGAGCAUAUGAAACCAUUUUAUAUCCUGAACAAAAAACAGAAAAGUAUCUUACCGCCUCAUUUGGAAAAGGAGCAAGAUUUUGCAUAUGAGAACUCGUCUGUGGCUGACUAAAUGCUGAAUUUAAUUGUUGAGCACUUUCAUAGGAAUAGCCAGCAGCAGAGGACGGAUAUGAGUAAUGCCCAUCACAAGUUUCUGCCUUUGGCGAUUCUGGUUGUGAAGCCGCAGGCAAUUCAUAAUUUCCAGAAUUUGCAUUAUUUCUUGGGAAUAAUUUAUUAUCGGACUCAUUUCUGAGAGUAUCAUCGCCAUAGUAUUCAGCGGCCCUGUAAAAUAAUGACAGAGAACAUUGUGUAUUAAAUUUUAGAUCGAAAAAGGUACAACGUGUCUACAUCAUCAUCAUUUUAGUGUAAACAAAGAUUUAAUUAGCGAAAGAGGGUCACAAGCUAAUAUUGCUAUUUGAUUAACUAAAAUAUGGAACAAUUCUUGAAAACCCAAUGAGCAAAACCAAACGAGAUUGACGCAAGGAUAUUCGAUUGAUGUCAUUUAUUUAAAAAAAAUGAGAAGAAUGUAUAAGUAACUGAUAAAGAAGAUAAACGUACACGACAAUUAAAUGAUUGAAAAACUUUUUGACAUCAUUGUCCACGUAGAGAAAGAGUUGACUAGAGUUUUCAAUUAGCAUAUAAACACACAACUUCUGCAAUAUAUGCAAAUAACUAAUUUAGCAACUCAGCAAACUAAGGAAACGGCCAACUAAAAGAAGUCGAACCUGGUGCCCAAGUGCGCAACUGAAGAACUAUCUGCUUCUGUAGAAGCAUCUUCCAAGGUAGUUUUCACAGGGGCAGCGGCCAGUGAUCCAGAAAAUGACACACCAGUAAAGCUACCAAAACUUAGGUGUGAACAGUCAGCUGCUUGAACUUGAAGAUGGUCUGGAAACACAAGGGACGGACAAUUCCCAUCAGAUGGCAAACCCCGAUCAUCCUUUACAUUUAGUUGCUGCAAGUUCGCAGCAACUGAUGAAACUGAGGCAUUAACAUCUUCAACUGCCACAAGAUUAAAGAACAUUCUUACAUAAACGAGAGGAUAGUACUUUAAAACAAUUGAAAAACAAAACUACAGUUGUACCAAGGAAUAAUAUUUACUAUAGAGUGCAACGUGCAACAGCUUAGUAGAGAUCGCUACUUCUAUUUAUAAAGCUAAGUACACACAAGGUACUCUCAGUCCAAAUAUUCAUCCUUCAGAUCCUGCACCUUUUUCUCUAAGAACUAAAGACAAAAGAUGCAGGAUGAAAUGCCUCCUAAGCAGCUCACCCAUGCAUGCCAACCCCCGCCAAAAAAGAUACCAACACACACACACACACACACCAAGAAAGUGAUGGAGCUAAUUUAAAAAGAGAAAAAAGGAAGCACUAAAUUAGAGGGAAGCGGGAGACUGCAAACGUGUGUUUAGAGGGGCCACAUCUGCUCAGGAAGAUCCUCAUAAAAGCAAUUUGACUGGAACAUUGUCAAAAUAACCAAAACUUGCCAGAAGUUUAGAGCGAAGUGAAACCAAUUAUCCGAAACAUUUAGGUUUCUGAUAUGCUAAAUAUCCAUUGGAAGUAGACAGACAUACAGAUUGACACAAAGUAAGGAUGAGAUUAAGAUGCUAGUACUCUAGGAUUGGCAGACGGUUAAGGUUAACACUUCAUCGCUUUCUACUUCUUCCAUUUUCCCAUUUCUGCAAACUUAAAGGUCAACAGCUAAUGACAAGAUCAGAUAGAGGGAGAAACAGCAGCAAUAAAAUAGAUCUGAUGAUCGUAGGAUGUCACGACUGCAUUCCUAUAACAAAAUUGUCAAGAUCUACUUCUAACGUGCCAUAUUAAAUAAUCCUAUAAAAAUAAGGCAGAGGGAGAUACAAAGGAGAAAAAUGAGUUACAAGGAACUAAAGAACCGCCAAAUCAAUUCCAAAGCCUCAAUGCCAAAACGCCAACCAAUACACCUCAGUUAAACUAAAACAAUGAGACUAAUAUAUCCAACGAUAUGCAUAUCUCAUGCCAAAUCAAAACUUCUACACAUAUUCACCUUGUGGAUGGUCAAAAGUGUGAUUCUGGUGCUGAUAUCUGUAGGGGUCAUUGUCAUACAGAGAAGCACUAUCAGCAUUAUCCUCCUGAAACUUUCUACUGGAAAAAGAAUUACCAAGAUCUUCAUUAGCACUGUCAUCUGCCUCUUCAGACUCGUCCGUCUGAAUUUGAUUAUCAAUUCUGUCAAAAGACGUGUUAGACGGAUCCGGAUGCAGCACGGAAUUAGUGGGAGGCUCCGAGACAGAAGGCUGGCUAGCAGCUGAUGGCUGCUCAAUUGAAGGCCACUCAUCAUUCGCUGAAAGAUCCUGAGAUGAAUAAUCCCUUGGUUCCUGAUGUACCUCAGGAACCUUCAAAUGAUCAUCAGAUAACUGCAUAUUAUGAUGUGAUGCACCAUAAGGAGGUGGUGCCUGAUCAUGGUUUUGGUUGACGCCGACAGUACGGUGAGAUAUAUUGGGUAUACUAGACACUUUACUCUGCGGCCUACCCAUCUUCACAAUAUCAGCCAUUGAUACUUGGCCUGGCACCCCACCCCAAGUAGGUUGAUAUCCAGAAGAAGGCUGGGAAGCAGCUGAAUGACCAUCAACUGCUGCUGCUGCCAAUCUUUUACUGUCAUUUCCAGCAGCAUCACUGCAACGCCAUUCAAAGCAUAAAAAGAAAAAAAAAGAAAAAAUAAGUCGAGAAUCUUCAAUAACAUGCUCAUUCUGCACAUAUGAAUGCAUGUAAUCCCGGAAUAGACGCAAUCCCUGAAUAAUUUAACAUGCAUGGUUCAAAGGAUAAAGGACGAGAAUAUUCAAAGAUUAGGUCUGCAGACACACUAUCCCCCCCACUGCUAAAUAAAUUUGGUUUUUCAAUAACAGCUUGAGUAUGGUAAGAACUUCUCGAGACAUUGACAAAUUUAAUGAACCAUACAGCAGGGUUUGACGGAUUAUUACACCGUUACCACCAACGGAAUCUAAAAGCAAGUGACUGUCUAGUGAAAGAACCAAAACCUUCUGACAAGACAACAGUACUAACCUGACGGCAGUUGGUCUCCUAUCUGUGUUACUUCCUGCAAUUAGAGGGGUUGAAGAGAAAUUGUUUGUUUGCGAUCCACUCUCCUUCCUGUAUGCAGGAGCGGGCUUGGUAGACUCUGUCAGAGUUUUUUAGAAAGCAAAACAAUCCACUAUCAGAUAACAUGACUUACACAACUCAAACCUAAUCUCUCUUUCAGAAAAUGUGCAUUAAAAUGUUUAUACCUGAUCCACCACGCCCAACAUAUCGUUCCCCACCAUCCCUACUGCCACGACUUGGAGUGCUACUCGUGAUCCAAGACCUAGAUUCAGUUGUAUCCUUAGUCUGAACCAAACAUGAACAGAAGUAAAGUUAUAACUACAAAAAAGUAAUUUGAGAAAGCAACAUAACAAUCUAAUUAAAGCACCUUUUCAAGGUCAUCGACUCAAUUAUAAGGAAGCUAAUCUUCGACGACAGACAGUUACAUAUCAAGUGGAGUGUGCAAUGCAGGGCAAAGAUUUUUUUAAAAAAGUUGGGGGUAGGGGAGCGGAGAACAGAGAGGGAAUGACAAAGUGGGAAAUCGAACUCCGACCAACAAGGUGAAAAUUCAAGUAGCCAAUCAACUGAGCUACUAAGAUUCCCAAGGGCUCUCAACAUGUCAAAUGAAAGCAUGACUCUACAGAUAUAUAAAGUUCAAAAAAGUCUAGACAUAUAUUGGUUCAAGAAGUUAUGCUUUAACGGUGAUUACGAACCUCUUUUCUCUUUUCUCGUUUGCUCUUCACCUCAUGAAAAGGAUCUAGUCAAUUAAAAAACUUCAAAUUAGAAGGUGAUAAGAAAUAUCAACUUAUUCAAGCAGGGAAGAUUGACAAAAUAUAAAUAGGUUUUAAGCAAAGAUAAUACAAAGAUGUCACUUCAAGUAACUAGUACGGAAUGAAACAGCAAAAGCACAGGGAGAGCAUGAUUAGCAACAAAAAUUCAAAUUAAUGCAGCUUAGGCAGUGCAACAGUGGUAAAAUCACCAGCAUCAAUCUGAUGCUUUUUCAGAGCCCAACAUUUGAUUCCUGCUUAAACCUUGCUUCCAACGGCAGUCUAUGUCAUCCUCAAGGUAAAUUCUAAAUAAUGUUCCGACUAUGGCAUUUACGAAUAGUAUCAAAAUACCACCUCCCAUGUGACUGGCGAGUACAUAGUGGUAACGGCUCACAAUUAGCUACAUUAACUUCCGUUUUGAGGUAGAUGUUUUCAUUCCCAGGGCAUCAAGUAGAUGUGCCUGGUUUGACCGGUAAAAACGGUUUGGUGAACACUCGGUUUUAAGGACAUGAUUAAGGAGUUGUGAUGCAACCAAAACGUCUUCUAUUCCUUUCAAAACAUUUAGUUCCUAUGUUAGUUAACAUUGAGAUUGGCAAUACACAAUUACUCAGGAAAAUACAGGUGAAAAGAUAGCCAUCUCAAACUGAAAUACCACAGAGUCCAUUAAACAUAAAAAUGACUCAAGGAUCAGGCCAAACACGAUACGCCAAAAAAUCUUCUAUAAUUUUCAAUAUAAUGCCAAAAAAGUCAAAAAUUUUACCGAACGAAUAAGUAUUUCUCCAUAAUGGAAGUUACGUAGCAUUCCAAAUAUGAAAACUUCGCAUAUACACAACCCAUUAGCUUGAUUUUUCUUGCUUAGAUAAAGCUUGGAUUUAAAGAACAUUAAACCCACACACAAGACACCACAAGAGUUUGAAACAAAGAUGGCAAAUUAUAUAACAUGAAAGGGGAUAAUCCAUUCUUCUCCCAGUGUGAGUAUUCGUUUCAUUUAUUUUUAACAUAAUCAUUACUAUCUUCAUAUCUGGAACAACCACAAGAUAAGGAAAACUAAAAGAGGCUACUUAACCAUAUAAUCUGAAAACUGAAAAAUUGCAUGCACAGAAAACUGAAGGACCAACGGAUUCCUCGUACGCAGAAAUUAAUUACAAAAAGAAACAAAAAAAGAUUUCAACUUUAAGGGUUCAUAGCUUGCUUAAAGGGACCUUCGAGCAUAUGUUCGGCUUCAUUAGGGUACUUUAUAAGCUGAAAACUAAAAAUUGCACAACACUAAAGACCCAAAAAAUCUCCAAUAGCCAGUACUUAUUACGAAAAGAAAGCUCAUUUAAGGGUUAAUAGCUUAAACUCCAAGAAUACGAAGUCAAUUGUCAGCUUCAUUAGGAUAAUCAACAAUCUACAACAACAACAACAUACCCAGUGUAUUCCCACAAAGUGGGGUCUGGGGACGGUAAAGUGUACACAGUCCAUACCACUACCUCAGACAAAGUAGAGAGAGAGAGGAACAGAGGUUGUUCCUGAUAGACCCCCCCGAAGGAUAAUCAACAAUCUAAAAACAGGAAGUUUGUAUUUUUCAACAACAAAACCAGUGUAUUCCCACAAAGUGGGGACUGGGGAGGGUAAAAUGUACGCAAUCCAUACCAAACAGAAAAUUUGUAUUUUUCAACAACAACAUACCCAGUGUAUUCCCACAAAGUGGGGUCCGGGGAGGGUAAAGUGUACACAGUCCAUACCACUACCUCAGACAAAGUAGAGAGGAACAGAGGUUGUUCCUGAUAGACCCCCCCGAAGGAUAAUCAACAAUCUAAAAACAGGAAAUUUGUAUUUUUCAACAACAAAACCAGUGUAUUCCCACAAAGUGGGGACUGGGGAGGGUAAAGUGUACGCAAUCCAUACCAAACAGAAAAUUUGUAUUUUUCAACAACAUACCCAGUGUAUUCCCACAAGGUGGGGUCUGGGGUAAAGCGUACGUUGUCCAUACCAUUACCUCAACCACAGAUGAAGUAGAGAGGUUGUUUCCGAUAGACCCCCAGUUCAGGACGGAUAGCAUAGCAGUAUAACGAACAAACGACAUAAAAGCAAACAACAAAAACGGAUAUCACGCCUCUAGAUAAUAAAGGCAACAAGACACCCACAAGUUAAUGCUAUAAACUAGUUAUUCGAAAUCAUAAACAUCACCAAAAAACCACGAACAAAAGACUACAAGAAACUACAGCCACAGAUACAAACAAAGCACUCUUCCCUACUAUGACGUCCCUACUACUACAUACGUACUCCUACCUACUAACCCUCUGCCCUAAUACGCGUCCUGCACACCUUCCUAAAGGGGAAAUUUGUAUUUUUCAUACACACUAACUAAAGAACCAACAAAAACUCCAAACACCAUGAAAUUAAUUAUGAAAAAUUACCAAAAAAGAAUUCAACUUUAAGGGACUACAACAACAACAACAACAACAUUAGUGUACUCUAUAAUCUAAAAACAGAAAAUUUGUAUUUUAAACGGUUCAGCUUUAAUUGUUUAUAGCUUAAUCUCAAAGGAACUUAACUAAGAAGCCAAUAAACAACAUCAUUAGGAUAAUCUAUAAUCUAAAAACGAAAAAAUUAUAUUGUUCAUUCACACAAAACUCUAAAGAACCAAAAAAAAUCCUAAACCCCACAAAUUAAUUACCAAAAAACAGCUCAAUUCAAUGGGUUUAUAGCUUAAAAAUUUCAUACACACAACACUAAACAACCAAAAAAUCCCCAAACCCCACAAAUUAAUUAUGAAAAAACAGCAUAAAUAACUCAAUUUACAGCUUAAACUCAAUUUACAUUCUUAAAAAAAAAACAAAAAAAAAAUAUUUUUUCAUGCAAAUUUUUUUUUUAUUAAUUUACAAAAAAAAAAAAUAACAACAAACUUUAUAGGAGUACAUAAUUCACCAUGAGCAAGAAGCUUAUUAACAAAUCCCCAAACCCCAUAAAUUAAUUAUGAAAAAAACAGCAUAAAUCACUCAAUUUAUAGCUUAAACUCAAUUUAAUUCUUUAAAAAACAAAAAAAAAAUAUUUUUUCAUGCACGAAAAAACCCAAAAUUCAAUUUACAAAUAAUAAUAAUAAUAAUAAUAAUAAUGACAAAAUUUAUAGGAGUAUAUAAUUCACCUUGAGCAAGAAGCUUAUUAACAGCUUCAUUAGGAUCCAUAUUACAUUCUUUAAGCAUAGCAUAUAUCUCAUCUUCACUAAAAUUCUUUACUAUUUCCUUUAAAUUUUCUACCAUCUUGUUUUUUCCUCCUCCUUUGCUAGUCAUUGAAAAGAAAAUAAUUGAAUUUUCAGAUCUAUUGUAGUUGAAAUUUAUGGAGUUUAUGGUGUCAAGAAAGAAAAACACAGUACACGCAAAACACACAGUGACUUGAAAAUAUAGGAGGUUGGAAGGGAGAUAUAUAUCUAAAGAGGUGAAUUUUUUAUUUUUUUAUUUUUGGUUUAAAAAAAAUUAUUACAUGAUUUUUUAAAAAAAAUUUAGUCUCUUUAAUAAUUUUGGUAAAGAUAUAAAAGUGUCAAACUCUUUUUUGGUAUAUUUUUAGGUUAAUAGUACCCUUGCCCGACUAAUUUGGGCACGUAUAUAUUCUCGAACUAUUGAAAAUAGUAUGGAUAUACAUACCCUCCAGUUUAGACGGUGUACAUCACGUAUCCUCGUUCAAAAGGAUUUAACCCGUUAUUCCUUAGUAAUUUAUCCCCUGAUCUGUCGAAAAAAUAUUCAACGACCAGAGUUGGAAGCGAGUUUCGGCCACGACUAUUUCUUGGCGAACUAAAAUCAAUGCGAUCACAGAAUAUUUCUUUAGGAUGAGGACAUGUGGGCAAAGCUAACUUCCAACUCCAUCCGUAAAACAUUUCUCUGGCAAGUCAGAGGAUAAAUUGCUAAGAAAAAAUGGGUUAAUUUCUUUCGAACAAGGAUAUAUGGCGUGCAGCGUCUAACUGAAGGUUAAAGGGUAUACACGUACCAUUUUCAAAAAUACCCACUAAAUAUAAUUGAUUUUUAGCUGUAUUAUAGUUGAAUUUUAUGAUGUUUAUAGUGAAUCAAGAAAGAAAAACACAGUACACGCGCAAGACAUAGUGACUUAAAAGAAACCAGGGUUAGACGCACCGUUUCGUCCGCUUGUCUACCCAAAUGAGCAAGAAUAUUGAAAUGGACCACACUGGGAUGAUCCCCAACUUCCUUGGCAUACCUCGAUCGAUUUUCGGCCCACAGCACGCCCGAACCCCCCCGGCCCACCCCGGAACCGUGGGCUAUAGCACACCGAUUUAUCCCGAAAAUACCCCAUUCGCGUCGUUUCGCCCGUUUGUCCACCCAAAUGGCCACGAAUAUUGAAACGAACCACACUGGGACAAUCCCCAACCUCCCUGGCACGCCCCAAUCGAUUUUCGACCCACAUCACGCCUGGACCCUGAGCCCACCCACGGAGGCCGAAACCGUGGGCUAUAUAGCACACCGAUUUAUCCUGAAAAUGCCCCGUUCGCGCCGUUUCGCCCGUUUGUCCACCCAGAUGGCCACGAAUAUUAAAAUGGACCAUACUAGGACGAUCCCCAACCUCUCUGGCAUACCCCGAUUGAUUUUCGGCACACAGCAUAUCCGAACCCCGGACCCACCCACGGAACCGUGGGCUAUAUAGCACACUAAUUUGGCCUGAAAAUCCCCCGUUUGCGUCGUUUCACCCAUUUGUCCACCCAAAUGGCCACAAAUAUUGAAACAGACCACACUCAAAUAAUCUCCAACCUCCCUGGCACGCCCCGAUCAAUUUUUGACCCACAGCAUGCUCAGACCCCGGGCCUACCCAUGGAACCGCAGGCAAUAGCACACCGAUUUGGCCCGAAAAUGCCUCAUUCACGCCGUUUCGCCCGUUUGUCCACCCAAAUGACCACGAAUAUUGAAACGGACUACAGUGGGAUGAUCACCAACCUCCAUGGCACGCCCCGGUCAAUGUUCGGCCAUCAGCACGCCAGAACCUCAGGCCCACCCAUGGAACCGCGGGCUAUAGCACACCGAUUUGACCCGAAAAUGCCCCUUUUGCACCAUUUUACUCGUUUGUCCACCUAAAUGGCCACGAAUAUUAAAACGGACCACACUGGCGAUCCCCAACCUCCCUAGCAUGCCCCGAUCGAUUUUUGACCCACAUCACAUCUGAACCACGGGCCCAUACACGGAACCGUGGGCUAUAGCACAUCAAUUUGGCCUGAAAAUGCUCCGUUAGCGUCAUUUCACCUGUUUGUCCACCCAAAUGGCCACGAAUAUUGAAACGGACAACACUGGGACAAUAUCCAACCUCCCUGGCACGCCUUGGUCAAUUUUUGACACAUAGCUUACCAGACCCUGGGCCCACCCACGAAAUUGUGGCUAUAACACAUUGAUUUGGUCCGAAAAUGCUCUAUUCGUACCGUUUCGCCCGUUUGUCCACCCAAAUGCCACGAAUAUUGAAACGGACCACACUAGGAUGAUCCCCAACCUCCCUGGCACACCCCGGUCAAUUUUUGACCCAUAACACGUUCGAACCCCGAGCCCACCUACGAAACUGUGGGCUAUAACACACCGAUUGGCCUGAAAAUACUUCGUUCGCACUAUUUUGCCCGUUUGUCCACCCAAAUGGCCAUAAAUUUGAAACAUACCACACUAGGAUGAUCCAUAACCUCCCUGGAUGCCCCGAUCGAUUUUUGGCCCACAGCACGCUCAAGCUUUGGGCCCACCCAUGGAACCGUGGGCUAUAUCAUACCAAUUUGGCUAAAAAAUGCCUCGUUCAUGUUGUUUCACCCAUUUAUCCACCCAAAUGACCACAAAUAUUAAAAUGGAUCACACUGGGACAAUCUCUAACCCCCUUGGCAUGUUUUGGUCAAUUUUUGGCCCACAGCAUGCUCGAACCCCAGGCCCACCAUCGAAAUCGUAGGCUAUAUAGCACACCGAUUUGGCCCAAAAAUGCCUUGUUCACACCAUUUCAAUCAUUUGUCUAUCCAAAUGGCGACGAAGAUUGAAACGGACCAUACUGGAACAAUCCCUAACCUCCCUGGCCCACCCCGAUUGAUUUUUGGCCCACAACACGUCUGGACCUGAUACAAGUGCAGUCACGUAGAUGGAUUUAAGAGAGUGUGUGUUGGGCCCGAGGCUUGGUGUGUAUAAAAUGAAGUGCAAAUAGGACCUAAAUACACACCAAAUCAGUCCAUUAUGCACUAGAGGGGCACCCCAUCAUUGAGGGGCCUUUUUGUCUUUUAACUCUUAUUAUGUAAUACACUAUAAAAGGAACAUUCUAGGGUUUGAGUUUGCAGUUUUUUUGGAUAUUGAAUAUUGUAUCUCACUCUUGAAACACACAAGUUCUCUCCUAAAAGGGGCUUGGCCGAAACUAGGUAACAAUUAGAGUAUGAAUUCACUCUUGUUGUUUGUUUGCUUAGAGCCUUGGAUGCUUGAAGGAUUGAGUUCCCUCUUGUGUUCUUUGAAGAGUGUAGGUGUUGCUACUUUCAUUUUUAAGGGUCUUUGUGUUUGAGAACACAUUAGGUUCUUAGACUUUGUAGUAGUGUAGGCCUAUCUUUCUAUCGUUUACAUUCUUGUAAUCUUGUCACGGUUGGUAUCUUGAAUUGUAAGCCGUUUGUCUUGUUGUUGUUCUUCACAUUAUUGUGUUCAUCUUGUGCUUCAUAUAUUGUUGUUAAUCUCAGUUUGGGGCUGGCUGAUUAUUGUGUUUAACACGUGAUAUUCUCUUCAUUAUUGUUAUCACUAGCGAAUUCGAGUGUGGUCACCAAGAUAGUCCUCGAUUUCUUGACUUGUGGACUGUUUUGGUGUGUGAUUCCGUGGCUUCCUUGUUUAUCUUGUAUCAGGACCCCGGGCCAACCUAUGGAAUCAUGGGCUAUAAAACACUGAUUUGGCCCAAAAUUGCCUCGUUCACGUCGUUUUGCACGUUUGUCCACCCAAAUGGCCACGAAUAUUGAAAUGGACAACACAGGGAUGAUCCCCAACCUCCCUGGCACUCCCCGAUCAAUUUUCGACCCACAUCAAUCCUGGACCCUGAGCCCACCCAUGGAGGUCGAAAUUGUGGGUUAUAGCUCACCGAUUUGCCCUGAAAAUGCCCCGUUCGCGUCGUUUUGCCCAUUUGUCCAUCAAUAUUGAAACGGACUAAACUGGGACGAUCCCCAACCUCUCUGGUAUGCCUCGGUUGAUUUUUGGCCCACAACAUGCCCGAACCCCAGGCCUAGCCAUGCAGCUGUGGGCUAUAGUACACCGAUUUGGCUAAAAAAUGCCCCGUUUGCGCCAUUUCUCACGUUUGACCACCCAAAUGGCCACGAAUAUUAAAACGGACCACACUGGGAUGAUCCCCACACCCUGCCAUGCCUUGGUCAAUUUUUGAACCACAGCAUGCUUGGAUCCUAAGCCCACCCAUAGAAUCGUGGGCUUUAGCACACCUAUUUGGCCUGAAAAUGCCAGUUCGUGCCAUUUCGCCCGAUUUUCCACUCAAAUGACCACAAAUAUUGAAACAGACCACACUAGGACGAUCCCCAACCUCCGUAGCAUGGCCCCAUCGAUUUUCGGCCCACAAUAUUCUCGAACCCCGGGUCCACCCACGGAACUGUGGGCUAUAGCACACCGAUUUGGUUAAAAAAUGCCCCCGUUCGCGUCGUUUCGCUCAUUUGUCCAUCCAAAUGGCCACGAAUAUUUAACGAACCACACUGGGAUAUACCCAACCUUUCUGGCAUGCCCCAGUCAAUUUUCAUCCCACAGCAUGCCCGAACCCCGAGCUGACCCAUGGAAUCGUGGGCUAUAGCACACCAAUUUGGCCCGAAAAUUCUCCGUUCGUGCCAUUUCGCCCGUUUGUCCACCCGAAUGGCACGAAUAUUGAAAUGGACCACAUUAGGAUGAUCUUCAAACUCUCUAGCACGCCCCGAUCGAUUUUUGAUCCAUAGUACGCCUGGACCCCAGGUCCACCUACGUAACCAUGGGCUAUAACACACUAAUUUAGCCCAAAAAUACCCCAUUUGUGCUGUUUCACUCGUUUGUCCACCUAAAUGGCCACGAAUAUUGAAACAAACCAUACUAGGACGAUCCCCAACCUCCCUGGCAUGUCCCGAUCGAUUUUUGGUCCACAGCAUGCUCGGACCUCGAGCCCACCCACGGAACCGUGGGCUAUAGCACACCGAUUUGGCCUAAAAAUGCCCAAUUCGUGUCGUUCUGCCCAUUUGUCUACCCAAAUGGCCACGAAUAUUUAAAUGAACCACACUGGGAUGAUCCUAAACUCCCUAGAAUACCCGAAUCAAAUGUUAUCCCACAGCACGAUCGAACCCCAGGCCCACCCAUGGAACCGUGGGCUAUAGCACACCGAUUUCGCCCAAAAAUGCCCCUUUCGCUGCUUCACCCUUAUGUCAACCCAAAUGGCCACAAACAUUAAAACGGAUCACACUGGGAUGAUCUCCAACGUCCCUACCUCACCUCAAUCGAUUUUUGGUCUACAACACGCCCAUACCCUGGGCCCACCUACGAAAUUAUGGGCUAUAGCACAUCGAUAUGGCCCGAAAAUGCCCCGUUCGCACCGUUUCGCCCAUUUGUCCACCCAAAUGACACUGAAUAUUGAAACAAACCACACGGGGAUUAUCAAUUUUUGUUCCAUAGCACGCCUACAGAACUGUGGGCUAUAGCAUACCGUUAAGGCCCGAAAAUGCUCUGUUCGCACCAUUUUGCCCGUUUGUUCACCAAAUCGCCACAAAUAUUGAAACGAACCAUACUGGGAUUAUCUCCAACCUCUCUAGCAUGCCCUGGUCGAUUUUUGGCCAACAUCACACUCGAACCCCGGGCCCACCCAUGAAAUUAUGGGCUAUUACACAUCGAUUUGGGCUGAAAAUGCCUAGUUCCCGCUGUUUUUCCCGUUUGUACAUCCAAAUAUCCACGAAUAUUGAAACGGACCACAUUGAGAUGAUUGCAACCUCUCUGGCACGCCCUAAUUGAUUUUUGGCCUACAACACGCUCGGACCUGAGCCCACCCACGGAAUCGUGGGCUAAAUCAUACUGAUUUGGCCUGAAAAUGCCCCGUUCUAGCCGUUUCGUCCAUUUGUCCACCCAAAUGACCAUGAAUAUUGAAAUGGACCAUACUUGAAUGAUCCUCAACCUCUCUGGCACGUCCCGAUCAAUUUUUGACCCACAACAUGCCCGAACCUCGGGCCCACCCAUGGAACCGUAGGCUAUAGCACACCGAUUUAGUUUAAAAUGCCUCAUUCGCGCCGUUUUGCCCGUUUGUCCACCCAAAUGACCACGAAUAUUGAAACGGACCACAAUGGGAUGAUCCCUAACCUCCCUGGCACGCCCCGAUCUAUUUUUGGCACACAACAUGCUCGAACCCUAGGCGCAUCAUGAAAUCGUGGGUAAUAGCACACCGAUUUGGCCUGAAAAUGCAUCAUUCGCACUGUUGAGCCUAUUUGUCCACCCAAAUGACCACAAAUAUUGAAACGGACCAUAAUGCGAUGAUGCUAAACUCCCUAGCAUGCUUCGGUUGAUUUUCCACCCACAGUAUGCCCGGAUCCCGGGCCCAUCCACGAAAUCGUGGACUCACAUCGAUUUAGCCUAAAAAUGCUCCGUUCGCGCUAUUUUGCCUAUUUGUCCACCCAAAUGGCCACGAAUAUUGAAACAGACCACAUUGGGAUGAUCCCCAACCUCCAUGGCACGCCCCGGUUAAUUUUUGGCCCACAAAAUGCCCAAAUCCCGAGCCUACCCAUGGAAUCGUGGGCUAUAACACAUAAAUUUGGCCUAAAAAUUCCCCGCUCACGCCAUUUUGCUUGUUUGUCUACCAAAAUGGCCACGAAUAUUGAAACGGACCAUACUGAGAUGAUCUCCAACCUCCUUAACACGCCACGAUUGAUUUUCAGCCCACAGCAUGCUCGAUCCUCAGGCUCACCCACAGAACCGUAGGCUAUAGAACACUGAUUUGGCCUGAAAAUGCCCCGUUUGUGCUGUUUCGCACAUUUGUCCACCCAAAUGCCACGAAUAUUGAAACAGACCGCACUGGGAUGAUCCCCAACCUCCCUAGCACACCCCGGGCAAUUUUUGGCCCAUAGCACGCCCAAACCCCAGGCCACCCCACAGAAUCAUGGGCUAUUGCAUACCGAUCUAUCCCAAAAAGGCCCCGUUCGUGAUGUUUCGCCCGUUUGUCCACCCAAAUAGCGACGAAAAUUUAAACGGACCACACUGAGACGAUCCCCAACCUCUCUGGCACGCCCCGGUUGAUUUUCAGCUCACAACACACCCGAACCCCAGGCCCACCCCUAAAAUUGUGGUCUAUAGCACACCGAUUUGGCAUGAAAAUACCCCGUUCGUGUCGUUUCGCCCGUUUAUCCACCCAAAUAGCCACGAAAAUUUAAAUGGAUCACACUGGAAUGAUCCCCAACCUCCCUGGGAUGCCCCAGUUGAUUUUCAGCCCACAGCACGCCUGGACCCCAGGCCCACCCCCGAAAUCGUGGGCUAUAGCACACAGAUUUUGCUCGAAAAUGUUCCAUUCGCACCGUUUCACCGUUUGUCAAUCCAAAUGGCCCCAAAAAUUUAAACGAAACACACUAGGAUGUUCCCAACCUUCCUAGUAUACCCUAGUCAAUUUUAGGCCCACAACACGCCCAAACCUCAGACCCUCCCCCAAAAUCAUGGGUUAUAGCACACCGACUUUUUCCAAAAA